AACGAACGCUGGCGGCAUGCCUAACACAUGCAAGUCGAACGAGACCUUCGGGUCUAGUGGCGCACGGGUGCGUAACGCGUGGGAACCUGCCCUUAGGUUCGGAAUAACUCCCCGAAAGGGGUGCUAAUACCGGAUAAUGUCUUCGCACCAAAGAUUUAUCGCCUUUGGAUGGGCCCGCGUUGGAUUAGCUAGUUGGUAGGGUAAAAGCCUACCAAGGCGACGAUCCAUAGCUGGUCUGAUAGCAUGAUCAGCCACACUGGGAAUGAGACACGGCCCAGACUCGGACGGGAGGCAGCAGUGGGGAAUAUUGGACAAGGGGCGAAGGCCUGAUCCAGCAAUGCCGCGUAAGUGAUGAAGGCCUUAGGGUUGUAAAGCCCUUUUACCCGAGAUGAUAAUGACAGUACCGGGAGAAUAAGCUCCGGCUAACUCCGUG
rnacentral:rRNA from 1 species